GGCUCGUCGGCCUGAGUCUAGAUGCUCCGCUCCCCGCGCUCCCCGGGCUUCUCUGUUCUCGUCGUGACCGUGCGGCCUCCGCCGGGCUCCUCGGCCUCCUGGGCCGGCGCCCAGACACGCGCGGCCGCAGACGGACGGACAGACAGACAGGGACACACAGAGAGACACAGACGGACAGACAGACACAGACACGCGCGGCCGCAGACGGACAGAGACACAGAGGGACAGACAGACACAGACACAUAGACACGCGCGGCCGCAGACGGACAGAGACACAGAGGGACAGACAGACACAGACACAUAGACACGUGCGGCUGCAGACGGACAGACAGACAGAGAGACAGAGAGAGACACAGACGGACAGACACAGACACGCGCGGCCGCAGAGGGACACACAGAGAGACACAGACACAGACAUGCCCACAGACACGCGCGGCCGCAGACGGACAGACAGACACAGACACACACACACAUCCACAGACAGACAGACACACAGAGACACACAGACAGACACGCACCCACAGACAGACACGCACGGCCACAGACGGAGAGACAGACACACAGACACGCCCACAAACACAGACACGCCCACAGGCAGACAGACUGAUGAACAGACAGACACACAAGCGCCCACAGGCAGACACACAGACACAGACAGACACGCCCACAGACAGACACACAGACACGCCCACAGGCAGACAGACAGACACAGACACACGCCUACAGGCAGACACACAGAGAGACACAGACAGACACGUGCGGCCACAGACACAGACACACACGCCCAGAGACAGACACACAGACACACACACCACAGACAGACAGGCACGCAGACAUACAUGCCCACAGACGCACAGACACACACACGGACACAGACAUAUAGACACACCCGCCCGCAGACAGACACACAGACACAUGCGCCCAAAGAUGCACAGACACACAGACACAGACACACACGCCCACAGACACACACACCACAGACAGGCACACAGACACACAUGCCCACAGACGCACAGAUGCACACACGGACACAGACAGACACACAGACACAUGCACCCAAAGAUGCACAGACAUAGACACACAUGCACACAGACUAAAGUUGUGACCCGAAGCAGGUCCUGCCCUGUGCUGCUGCUUGUCAAUGAAAUCACACCCAGGUGAGGAGGGAGGAAGGGGGAAGAAGAGCAGUUAUCACGAGGAGCGAGAACGCUCUAUACCGCCCUUCACAAGGAAGUACAUGCAAAGACCAUGGUCUACAUAGGUCAUCAUGGCGCAGGGGCACAGUUAGACAAAGUGCAUUUUUUCCCUUAGUAAGUACAAAAAAUGGUGGAUAAGUCCCGCCCUGGGCAGAGAUUUUAAUGUUCAAUUAGGUUACUUUAGGACACUUUUGAGGCUAGUAAACUGAUUUUGACUGGUUUUGGUUUAUUUAAGGCAGUAGUUGGGUUACAGGCAGUGCUCAGAGUCUUGAUGAUAACGGACAGGAGGAACAGGUCUUGCUUGAUGGUGGCAGAGCAGCUGCUAGCUGCAGCUGCUGGCUAUCAGUCCCUCCUUUUUGGGGAUAUGGUGAUAAGGCGUAUUCCUUUGGUCGUUGAGAAAAAACAAACAAAUCCAUUGCCGUCCGGUCGAUUCUGACUCAUAACGACCCUAUAGGACAGAGUGAAACUGCCCCAUAGGGUUUCCAAGGAGCAGCUGGUGGAUUAGAACUGCUGACCCUUUGGUUAGCAACCAAAAGCGUAACCACUGUGGCACCAGGAGUGUGGAGAGCACUAUCUAAAUUGGGCAGCGCCUUCUCCAUGUAGGGGAUUGUAUUGAACAUAAGCUUCUAUGCUUGGUUUUUUUAAGCUGUAGCGAGAUAGACAAAAACAAUUCCUGUUACUAUUAAAGAAAAUAAAAAUAGUAAACAAAUGCUUUAGGUAACCAGGUGAGCCAGUCAAAGAUAUUUGACCUAUCUUGGUUAGGAACAGAAAGCCAGGUAGCUUUCUGACAUGUUGACAAAUCCAACCUUUGGUCAUGCUGGUUGCCCUUCCUACUAAUUGGGCUGUUUUGACAAAAGCAUUACUCUGCCAGGCUUGGGUAGGAACAACAACAACAAAAAAAAAACGAAAAGGACUUCAUAGCUUUUUGAACAGAAAUUUUAGGUCCUUUGAGGCUAUCAUUGGUGAAUUGAGGCCUGGAGCAGGCACAAUCUUCAGCCAGGUGUGGUGAAUCCAACGCUUGAGUCCUUUUAGUUUGCCGGCCAAAUGGGUGAUGAGAAGUACCUGCAAAGGUCCUUUCCACUUGGGCUGCAGUGACUCACCUUUCCAGGCCUGCAGCAAGACCAAAUCUCCAGGUUGAAAUGGGUGGACCAUCCCCUCAGGAGGGUAUACUUGUCUGGCAAGGGCCUGUCUGUGGAGAGAAUAAAGGACAGCAAAGAACGCAAAUACUCUUGUACAGCUUUUAACACCUAAUACAGUUAGUUACAUGGUCGCCAUUUGUCAGCUCAUGAUUUUUCAGGAGGGGCUUCCUGUAGACUAGCUCAAAACGGCUUAAUUUGAACUCGCUUAUGGGAGCUGCCCUAACCCUAAGCUGGGCUGUAGGGAGAGCCUGUACGCAUGUUAAUUUUGCUUCCUUGACACACCUUUGAUACAUGUCUUUUAAGUGUCUGGUUCAGUUUUUUGUCUUUUCUCUUGGCUGUGGUCUCCGGGCUGCAUUUAGUUGCCAGUCCCCCAAUUUUUGGGUUAGCUGUUCCUUGAUUCUCAUACAUGAACAGUUCAAAGGGUUUUGCUACAUUGGGGAGCCCCAGGGUUGGGGCCGAUAUGAGUUGUCUUUAAUUGUCUGUUGUUCAUUAGUGCAAAUAAAAUGAUCUGAACCUUUCUCUUCAGUUGUUCUAUGUAAAGGUUUGGCCCUUAGUCCAAAGCUAGGAAUCCAGAUUCUGCAAAAACCUGCCAUUCUCAGGAAUCCUUGGGGGAAACUGGAAUAAGGUUGGCCCCCGGUCCCCCUCAGUCUGGCUCUUCCCCUUGUAGCCUAACCUUUUCAGGUUCCUUUGGGGCCCUCUGUCUCUUGGGGGCAUUCACUUCCCUGAUGUCUUUCCUGUUUACACCACGCGCACUGGUUUUUCCCUAGCUUAGCCUGGAUCCCAGAGCCCGGGGAAAAGUUCCCUGAUGUCCAGGGGUGGAAGCCGCCUUUUGGCAGGAAGGCUGCUGCAAGCAUAGCUACUAGCUGCUUGAUGUGCUGGUUCCCCUUUCUCUCUUGGACUUGUUCUUGGUUAGAAUAGGCAUUGAAGGCUGUUUCUCCCACCUGAAAUUCCCAUCCCCACACUGCCUUCUACUUUCUGUAAUUUCUUUUUUAUGUUGGGGGCACUUUGCCCUAUGAACGUUAUAUUCACCAUAUGAGCGUUUUCAGGCGCCUCAGGAUCUAAAUCAGUAAAUUGUCUGAAAACCAUGAAAAUUCGUUCAAGGAAGCCAGAGAGGUCUUCCUCCAGUUUUUAUUUGACUUCAUACGCUUUGUUUGAAUUCUUUUGUUUGGGUGCCCCAUUUUUGAGCCCAGUGAGCAAGCAGUCACAGUACUGACUUAAUCUGGCUCAGCUGGCCUGGGUGUGUGUGGCCCACCCCGGUUCAGUGGGCAGUGUUGCCAAAUCUACCGGGGCGGGUGGAGGGGGGGAAGGUGGUGACCGUCAGCAUUGUGCUGGUGGGGCCUGUCUCCUUCUUCCCUGGCUUUUUCAAAACCCAUUCUCCUCUCUUUAGGAGUGAGUAAACUACCACAUAAGGCUUGACGGCCUGCGCGGUUUGGGUAGAGGGUUUUAAAAAUAGAAGCAAAAGGACCAUUCAUUCACUUAGGAUCCUUUCAGUAUGUUCUUAGAUUAUUUUUCCAAUUUAAUGAGUCAGAAGUCGUGAAUAUACCCCGACCAUGACCAGAACUCCCGCUGCCCCAUCCUCACCCGCACCUCGAGCCGGGAUUUUCCUUAAUGGGUGUAGCCUUGUUGAGUGUUCUGGGGCCCCUGGACCAAAUCAGGUGCCACAUCGAGUGUGUGCCAGGGAAAGCAUCUCGGCGCCGGAGGCCUCAGGGGCUGAUGAAGGGAUAAAGGGGAAGUCUGUGACCUUCGGUUAAAACCUGAUUCUCUUCUGGGGAACUAGAUAAAACUGGUUUUAACCUUGGUUUGAGCCAUGAUUUUACAUUGUUCCACAAGCUCUUAUUUUGUCACAAUGACAUAAAAACCUUAACAUGUAUUUUCACAUCUCAGUUUUCUUCCCUAGUACAGAACAAAUCUAGCUACAGUAUGGUGUUAGGAUUUGAGGAUCCAUUCUCAGGCCAGUGUUCACCGUCCCCGAGUUUGUAUUGGGGACACGGUGUUACAAAAAAAAUUCACUGUAGACUUUUUCAUUGGGUCAUAUCCAAAAUAAAACCAGUUCUUCAAAAUACAUCCUAAUGGAGUACAUUCAGAAUGCUUGAAUUAUUUCCUAUGGUACCAGAAUCUAAAACUACAGACACCUAUUUAAAAUGAAAGUAGUUGACCCGACCUUCCCUGACUAAGCAUUACCAGAGUCUGUAGUCUGUCUUCUUUCUACAAAUAGGACUUAUUUCUAUACUUACCAAGGGAGUCUUUUCCCUCUUCCUGGGACACCUGACACCGUUCUCUCUCCUUACGUAGUCCACCACUGAGGAGUCCGAGGUCAGCUCCAGCCUCAAGAGCCAAAACGAGCCUCCACCAAAGAAAGGUUACUGGUGUACACUGGGAGAAGCAGUCAGUUCUUGUCAGCUGGAGGUGGUCUCAGGAGCCGAGCAACGCUGGUCCCAUCUGAGGUCACCAGAAUUUGUUAUCUGAAGCAGGUCCUGCCCAGUGUGGCUUCUCCUCCAUAAGGACACUGAGAUGAGGAAGGAGGAAGAGUGUUUAUUGUAGGCACACAGAGAAGGAGCAAGGAGGUGGAGACCUCAAAUCAAGCUCCCUGAACAAAGGGAGGCAGAACCUUUUAUACCAUCGUUCCUUCACAAGGAAGUACAUACAAAUGUCAUGGACUACGUAGGUUAUCAUGGUGUGCAGGCGCAGUAAGAUAAAUUACAUUUUUUUCCCCUUAGUAAGUACAGAAAAUGGCAGAUACGUCCUGCCCUGGGUAGAGAUUUUAAUAUUCAUUUAGGUCUUAAUGACUUAGGUUACUUUAGGACACUUCUGAAGCUAGUAAACUGAUUUUGACUGAUUUCAGGCAGAAGCUGAGUUGCAGGCAAUUCUUAGGAUCUUGAUGAUAAUGGACGGAGGAGCUGGUCUUGCGUGCUAGUGGCCGAGCAGCUGGUGGCUGCCCUGCUCGCAAUCAGUCACAUUGAGCUCCUCCUCAGGCCUCAGUCACCCUGGCCUGUAUGUAUUUUUACCGUUUAUUGAGCUAUUUCAGAAGCGCUGGGCACUGUGCUAAGUACUUUAUCUCCUGCACAUAUUUUAUCCUCCAAACAACACCAUGAGUUAGGGAGUAUUUGCAGCAUUUUACUGAAGUAAGAAUCUUGGUUAAAUUAGAUAGCUUGUUAAUGGACAAAUAUCCAGUAAGUGGUAGUGUCCAAACUCAAAUUCAGAUUUGUUCUUAUUUCAAGGGGCAUAUUCUUUUUUUUUUUAUUGUGCUUUAAGUGAAAGUUUACAAAUCAAGUCAGUUUCUCAUACAAAAAUCUGUAUACACCUUGCUCUGUGCUCCUAGUUGCUCUCCCCCUAAUGAGGCAGCACACCCCUUCUCUCUGCCCUGUAUUCCCCAUGUCCAUUCAGCCAGCUUCUGUCCCUCUCUGCCUUCUCAUCUGCCCUCCAGACAGAAGCUGCCCACAUAGUCUCAUGUGUCUACUUGAUCCAAGAAGCUCACUCCUCACCAGUAUCAUUUUUUGUCCCAUAGUCCAGUCCAAUCCCUUUCUGAAGAGUUGGCUUUGGGAAUAGUUCCAGUCGUGGGCCAACAGAAGGUCUGGGGACCAUGACCUCUGGGAUCAUUCUAGUCUCAGUCAGACCGUUAAGUCUGGUCUUUUUAGGAGAAUUUGAGGUCUGCAUCCCACUGCUCUCCUGCUCCCUCAGGGGUUCUCUGUUGUGUUCCCUGUCAGGGCAGUCAUCAGUUGUAGCCGGGCACCAUCUAGUUCUUCCGGUCUCAGGCUGAUGUAAUCUCUGAUUUAUAUGGCCCUUUCUGUUUCUUGGGCUCCUAAUGACCUUGUGGUUUUAGUGUUCUUCAUUUUCCGUUGCUCCAGGUGGGUUGAGACCGAUUGAUGCAUCUUAGAUGGCCACUUGCUAGUGUUUAAGACUCCAGAUGGCACUCACCAAAGUGGGGUGCAGAAUGUUUUCUUAAUAGAUUUUAUUAUGCCAAUUCAACUAGAUGUCCCCUGAUACCAUGGUCCCCAGGCCCCCACAAGUGGUAUAUUCUUGACCACAAUUUCCUGCCUAACAUGGCUCCUCUUUGUUUUCUGUGCUUCAUCAAGCAGGAUUUUUGUGGAUUAUUGCUGAUUGUACAGAAAUGAAGAUUCUGGUGAGGAAUAUAUCCCCCCUCCUUUAAUGGUUAUAGGUAUUUAAGACAUGAAGAAUAAAGAAACUUGAGUUGGAACUAGUACAUACAUUUAGGAUCAUAGAAAAAUCCAAACCCAUUACCAUCGACUGGAUUUCAACUCAUAGUGACCCAAUAAGACAGAGUAGAACUGCCACAUAGGGUUUCCAGGGUGCAGCUGGUGAAUUCGAUCAGCAGACCUUUUGGUUAGCAGCCGAACGCUUAACCACUACACCCCCAGGGCUCUUUUUAGGACCAUAUUUAUCCCAAUUUCAGAGGAAAGUAUUUAGUAAGAGAGAUGUUUCAAGGAAUUUCUUUGGCUCUAAGGCAGACAAAUUCAUCAUGAUUAUGUGAGAAACAAUAAGGCCAAUCCUAGUUGGUCUGCUAUAAGAUGCCAUGUUGCUGAGCAAGCUUAAUAUAGGAGAUGAAGGAUUUAUAGAGGUCGCAUAUUCCCAAUGUCAGAACAGCGCAUAUAAGGAAUGAGGGCAAAGUGGGAGACAGGUAAUGAAAGUAAAAAAUACUUCAAUGGAUCCUAGAGGGUCAGCCACACUACCAAAGCCAGAACUCGUUGCCACGGAGUCCAUUCCCACUCACAGUGAAGUACCUAUCUUUCCUGAUAAUUAUUUUACAAAGUGAGAGAGUCAAGUAGAGAGUAUAUUGAAGUCUCCUACUAUUACUGUGGAACUGUCAGUUUCCCUUUUCAGUGCUGUCAGAGUUUGUUUUAUGUAUUUUGGAACACUGUUGCUGGGUGCGUAGAUAUUUAUUGUGGUCAUGUCAUCAUGGUGGAUUGUCCCUUUAAUCAUUAUAUAAUGUCACUGCUUGUCUUUUAUGGUGGAUUUUGUCUUAAAGUCUAUUUUAUCUGAGAUUAGCAUUGCCACUCCUCUUUUUUGGUUGCUGUUUGCUUAGUAUAUUUUUUCCAUCCUUUGAUUUUUAGUAUAUUUAUGCCAUUGUCUAAGGUGUGUCCCUUGUAGACAGCAUAUUGAUGGGUCAUGUUUUUUUAUCCAUUCUGUCACUCUCUGUCUCUUUAUGGGUGCAUUUAAGCCAUUUACAUUCCGUGUGGUUAUUGAUUAGGUGUGAGUUUAUUGGUGUCAUCUUGUAGUAGUUUUUUUUUUUUUUUUUGUAGUGCUGACGUUUUCUUUGUUACUCUUGCCCCAUUUACUUAUAUUGGAUAUACCAUGGUCUGCCAAAACAACGAACAAACCUGUCUUGGAAGAAGCACAAAUAGAAUGCUCCUUAGAGGCAAGGAUGGCAAGACUGUGUUUCACAUGAUUUGGACAUGUUAUCAGGAGGGAUCAGUCCCUAGAGAAGGACAUCAUGCUUGGUAAGAUAGAGGGUCACCGAAAAAGAGAAGUACCCUCAGUGAGAUGGAUUAACAUAGUGGCUGCAACAGUGGGCUCAAAUAUAGCAACAGUUGUGAGGAUGGCACAGGACUGGGCAGUGUUUUGUUCUGUUGUGCAUAGGGUCGCUACGAGUCUGAACCGACUCGACGGCACCUAACAACAACAACUUACUCUCCUGUGCCAAGUUCCUUUUGUUUGUGAAAUUUCUUUUGUGUGUUUUUUUGGUUGUUGUUGUUACUGUAGAUUUUGUGUUUACUGAGACUAUGUUUUUCUUCUUUAUUUGGAUGAGUAGUUUUGUUAAUUUGCUUUGUGGUUACCUUAAAAUUUACCCUUAUGUUCCUAAAUUUGAACCAGUCUUUUAUUAUCUCAUAUCGCCUUGACUUCUCCAUUUGAAAGUUCUAUACCUACACCGUGUAUUCCUCCUUUUAUUAUUCUGCCAUUGUUGUCAUUUAUAGAUUGAGGUCUCUAGUUCCCUGUUUUGCUAAUACCUUAUCCCUUCGUUUAAGGUUCAGGGUUCCAGGAUUGACGUUUGUAUCCGUUUUACUUGGUUUUUGAGUCUUUGUUGCAGCGGGAUGGCUUAGUACAUCUGACUAGUCUGCCAUCUUGGUUCCACCUCUUCUCUGGGCUCUUUGAAGGCCAGUGGACAGUCACUGACAGGCAUUAAUCAGUUCCUGUGCUGUAAACAGAUUUUGGAAACGACAACCAUGAUUGAAUGAUGCCCGGCAGGAGCUUGUUAUGAACAAGUUAAGGAACUCUGUGAGGAGACCUAGACAAAGAUAGGUUGCGAAUUAGGAAAAUAGUAUAGUGAUAUAACGUAGAUGGCUCAAGGGCAUCCAUUGAUAGAGUGUUCAUUUCUUGAAUUACAGGGUAUAGAUCAGUGAAUGCUUCUCAUACUUGAAUGUCAGUGUGGACAACCCAUGGAUCUUGUUAAAGUGGGGCUUUUGAUGCACCCAUUCUGGGGUGGGGCUUGAGAUUCUACAUACUGAAAAAGCUUCUAAUUUAUGCUUGAAAUAAUAAGUCUAGAAAUAAGGAUGUGAAUUAAAUUUAGAAAAUGCUAUCAGAAAAAAAAUGGAGCCCCGGUGGUGCAGUGGUUAAGAGGUUGGCAGCUAACCAAAAGGUCGGCAGCUCGAAUCCACCAACUGCUCCUUGGAAGCCCUAUGGGGCAGGUCUACUCUGUCCUGUAGGGUCACUAUGAGUCAGAAUGGACACAAUGGCAACAGGUUUGGUUUGGUUUUAGAGAAAAUAAUAAAAGGAAGGAUAAUACUUAAAGGGGAGACACGGGUGUAAAGAUCAUGUGGGAGAGAGAGCAUUUACACUGAGACCGAGAAAUGAAAGAAAAGGAGUCACCUUGGAGGGGGAGCAGAGUGGAAAGAAAUGGGAACAGAGGCGGGAGAUGUCUCCUUAGAGAAAACAAUGAUUUUCUGAUUUAUUGAUCGAUUCAUUGUGAAGUUGAAACACAAAGUGUUCAGGAAUCCCCCCAGAUUUCUCAAAAGCUUAGGCACUGCUGGUAUCAUGGUUGGAGAACAAAGAGGCGGGGAAGAAAACCUCAGGGGGAAGAAAGACAGUUCAUUGUAAAAGCAACAGGAAAAAUACCAAUCACAUAUUACGGUGCUAGAAGUGAAAGCAAAAUUGUAAAGAGCACAAUACAAGGAUUUUAACUAGACGUAAUUAAAAAUGAAUGAAACUUGAAAAAUAUGUUCUUCCUGAAAAUUCACCCUUGUUAAUACCUAAUAACAGUGUGUGUUUUGAUCUAUACGGCACGAAGUACAUAGGUGAACCCACAGCAUCAGCAUUGGGCCCCUGACUCCCUGGAGGAAAUCAGGUUCACGUUUGCAGCCUGACCAGGCCUGGUUGCUCCUCCUGCUCCGGGAGAAGUAAGUUCCACCAUCUGUGAUCUCGUUGCAGAAAGCAGAGGCCCACGGAGCUGCCUGAAGAAUGCAGGUCUCAGGUGUGGUGCAGGGAGAACUAGCCCAGUCCAGGCAGCUGGGAACCUAGGGCGACCCUCUUGCACAUCUGUAAAUCACAGGGAAAGAUUUCAACUGCUCUGACUGGUGUGUGGACCAAACUUUAUUCAUCUGAUUCCAAACCACCCAGUGCUCUGCUUCCACUCCUGUCCCUCUUCCUGAAGUGGCUUCUUGGCCUCAGAGACAACAUUCCUUUAGACUUCCGGAAGCUGGAGAAGGAAAUGGAUGGAAUCCUAGGUUACCAAUAUUACAUCUGUCUUUUUUCCUAAUGGAAACCCUGGUGGCAUAGUGGUUAAGUGCUAUGGCUGCUAACCAAAAGGUCAGCAGUUCGAAUCCACCAGGUGCUCCUUGGAAACUCUGUGGGGCAGUUCUACUCUGUCCUAGGGUUGUUAUCAGUCAGAAUCAACUCAACAGCAACGGGUUUGGUUUUUGGAUUUUUUUUUUCUAAUAUGUGCCUUCAGUGCUAUAAAUAUCCCUCUCUGCAUGGCUUUCUCUGCAUCCAACAAACUUUGGACUCAGUGGUCUUGGAGGAUGUAGCUGUGGUCUUUAGCCAGGAAGAAUGGGCUUUGCUGGAUCUUGCUCAGAGAAAACUCUACAGAGAUGUGAUGAUGGAAACCUUCAGAAACCUGGCUUCAAUAGUCUCCCAAAACGUUAAUGAAGGAGAAAAGUUAUCCACUGAACGUAUAAUGGUACAAUUUAUAAAGAAUAACACCUGGUUCUCCAUGUUAGGAGAAAUUGCUGAAUUGCAUGGCAAUAAAGAUCAGCAUAAAAACCAGAGGAGAUAUUUGAGAAGUCAUAUAGUAGAGAACCUCUGUGAAAGUAAUGAAGGCGAUCAGUGUGGGAAAACCUUCAGCCGGAUUCCAAAUCUUACUGUGCUAAAGAGAAAUUUUCCAGAAGUAAAUCUUUUUGAAUGCUCAGAGUAUGGAAAAGCUUUCAUGGAUCACUCAUCCUGUAAACAUCAUACAAGAUCUCACACUGGAUACAAUGCCUACUGGUGUAAGGAAUGUGGAGAAGCCUGCAGUUGUCCCUCUCACCUAACCUAUCCUAUGAGAACUUACAAUGGAAAGAAACCCCAUAAAUGUAAGGCAUGUGGGAAGGACUUCAUUUGUUUCUCAAUUCUUAAGAAUUCUGUGACAUCAGUUACUUGUGAGAAACAUUAUGAAUGUAACGAAUGUGGGAAACAUUUCUGUACUUUCUCAUCCUUUUGGAGACAUGUGAGAGAUCAUAAACGUGAGUGUAAAGAAUAUUGGAAAACCUGUAGUCCUUCAUCCCUCAUUUUGCAUAAAAAAUUUCAUAACACAGUUAUGCCUUAUGAAUGUAAGGAAUGUGGGAAAGCCUUUAGUAAGGCAUCAUCCCUCACUACACAUACAAGAACACACAGUGGAGAGAGGCCUUAUGAAUGUAAGCAGUGUGGGAAAGCGUUCCAUCGAUCAUCACAUCUCACUACACACAUAAGAACACACAAUGGGCAGAGGCCUUAUGAAUGUAAGGAAUGUGGGAAAGCCUUUAUUUGUUCCUCACACCUCACUACACAUAUAAGAACUCACACUGGAGAGAGGCCCUAUGAAUGUAAGGAAUGUGGGAAAGUCUUUAGUGAUUCCUCAAACCUGACUACACAUAUAAGAACUCACUGUAGAGAGAGGUCCUAUGAAUGUAAGGAAUGUGGAAAAGCCUUUAUGCAAGUCUCACACCUCACUAAACAUGUAAGAAGAACUCACAGUGGAGAAGGGUCUUAUGAAUGUACAAAAUGUGCGGAAGUCUUUAGGCGAGCCACACACCUCACUAAACACAUAAGAAGAAUUCACAGUGGAGAGAGGCGUUACGAAUGUAAGCAAUGUGGGAAAGCCUUUACUUGUUCCUCACACCUCACUACACAUACAAGAACUCACACUGGAGAGAGGCCCUAUGAAUGUAAGGAAUGUGGGAAAGCCUUUAGUGAUUGCUCAGCCCUCAUUAAACACAUAAGAACUCACACUGGAGAGAGGCCCUAUGAAUGUAAUGAAUGUGGGAAAGCCUUUAGUGAUUCCAGAGCCCUCACUACACACAUAAGAACUCACACUGGAGAGAGGCCCUAUGAAUGUAAGGAAUGUGGGAAAGCCUUUAGGCAAGACUCACACCUCACUAAUCAUAUAAGAACUCACAGUGGAGAGAGGCCCUAUGAAUGUAAGGAAUGUGGGAAAGCCUUUAGGCGAGCCUCAAACCUCACUAUGCAUAUAAGAACUCACAGUGGAGAGAAACCUUAUGAAUGUCAGGAAUGUGGGAAACUCUUCACUCGUUCCUCACUGCUUACUAAUCAUAAAAGAACUCACAGUGGAGAGAGACCUUAUGAAUGUAAGGAAUGUGGGAAAGCCUUUAGGCAGCACUCAGCCCUCACUACACAUAUAAGGACACACAGUGGAGAGAGGCCUUAUGAAUGUAAGCAAUGUGGGAAAGCCUUUACUUGUUCUUCAGUCCUCACUACACAUAUAAGAACUCAUAGUGGAGAGAGGCCUUACGAAUGUAAGGAAUGUGGGAAAACAUAUAGUGAUUUCUCAACCCUCACUAUGCAUGUAAGAAUUCACAGUGGAGAGAGACCUUAUGAAUGUAAGGAAUGUGGAAAAGCCUUUAGGAGUUCCUCAACCCUCACUACACAUAUAAGAACUCACAGUGGAGAGAGACCUUAUGAAUGUAGAGAAUGUGGGAAAGCCUUUAGGCAGCUCUCAGCCCUCACUGCACAUAUAAGAACUCACAGUGGAGAGAGGCCUUAUGAAUGUAAGGAAUGUGGGAAACCUUUUAGGCAACUCUCAGCCCUCACUACACAUAUAAGAACUCACAGUGGGGAGAGACCUUAUGAAUGUAACGACUGUGGGAAAGCCUUUAGGAGUUCCUCAGCCCUCACUUCACAUGUAAGAACACACAGUGGUGAGAGACCUUAUGAAUGUAUGGAAUGUGGAAAAGCCUUUAGGCAGGUGUCAGCCCUCACUACACAUACAAGAACUCACAGUGGAGAGAGGCCUUAUGAAUGUAACUAAUGUGGGAAAGCCUUUAGUUGUUCCUCACACCUCACUUGACAUAAAAGAACUCACAGUGGAGAGAUUAUAUAUCAAAAGUGGGAUGUUUCAUCCCUACUACUUAAUUUCAAGCAGCAAAUUUCCAAAAGUCUGUCAUUAAGGACCAAAGUUUCUCAGUGAGUAAUAAAGCAAUACUAACUCAAAGAAGGGGUCAUUAGAACUACUUUGUGCCUUUGGGAGACAUGACAGUUUCAUUAUAAUUGCAGAGCUGUCCACAUCAACUUUUUUUUACUUUCUCAGUCCAAGCUAAGUUUUACUGUUCUUAAAGUCUUUGCUACAAAUAAGGCUGCAGGCAAUAGCCUUAAGCAAAUGUGGUUUUAUAUGUUUUUUAAUAUUGAUGUUAUUUUGCAUACAAUAAAAUACACUGAUCUUGUAUUUGGUUUAAGAGUGUUUUGUUUCUGUGUUUAUCGCAUUUCCUUCCAUUCUUUCCUAUUUAAGCAUUAACUAUUUUACCCAUUAUAAGUUUCCAUAGGGUGAUAGUUUGAGAUUGUGCAAAUAUUCUGUUUUUCAUCGUACGUUGUCCUACUAAUAUUAAUACCCAUUGACAGUUAUUACCUAUGAUUAUUAAUACUGUGUACCUAAUGGUAUUUUCUGUUCCAGUCAUUUUUUCUAUGUUUAUUAACUGGAAUUCUGCAAAGAAAAUGUUUCCUUUCUCUCCCCUUUAUUAAAUUGUUUAUACUGGUAUGGGCUAAUCCAUAUUACUUCUUUUUUCUUGCUCAAAUUGUCCCAGAUUUGGUUAUUAGGAGCUACCUUAUGUAUGUCCCUGUAUUUUUUUAACGUGACCCCAUUAUAAUUUGUACAUUACUUUCUGCCAGUGUUCAAGGCUCAUCUAGUUCUUUUCCUACCCAAACCCUAGAAUCAGACUUUUCUCCAAAAAACCCUGGUUCCUUUUAUUAGAGAAUGAUAUUUAGAAACAGAGACCUGGGGAUUAGGUAUGCUUAUUGCUACUGGGCCCUCAAAGUGGUACAGCUGGAUAAUAUAUGUGUGUGAGUGUGCAUAUACAAACACA